UGAACGCUGGCGGUAUGCUUAACACAUGCAAGUCGAACGGAAACGAUACUAGCUUGCUAGUAGGCGUCGAGUGGCGGACGGGUGAGUAACGCGUAGGAAUCUGCCUGAUAGUGGGGGAUAGCCCGAAGAAAUUCGGAUUAAUACCGCAUAAUCUAUUCGUAGUAAAGUGGGGGACUUUCGAGCCUCACGCUAUCAGAUGAGCCUGCGUAAGAUUAGCUUGUUGGUAGGGUAAAAGCCUACCAAGGCGACGAUCUUUAGCUGGUCUGAGAGGAUGAUCAGCCACAUCGGGACUGAGACACGGCCCGAACUCCUACGGGAGGCAGCAGUGGGGAAUAUUGGACAAUGGGGGCAACCCUGAUCCAGCAAUACCGCGUGUGUGAAGAAGGCCUGAGGGUUGUAAAGCACUUUCAAUUGUGAAGAAAAGUUAGCGGUUAAUAACCGUUAGCCUUGACGUUAACUUUAGAAGAAGCACCGGCUAACUCCGUGCCAGCAGCCGCGGUAAUACGGAGGGUGCAAGCGUUAAUCGGAAUUACUGGGCGUAAAGCGUGCGUAGGCGGUUUAUUAAGUCAGAUGUGAAAGCCCCGGGCUUAACCUGGGAACUGCAUUUGAAACUGGUCAACUAGAGUAUGGUAGAGGAAAGUGGAAUUUCUGGUGUAGCGGUGAAAUGCGUAGAUAUCAGAAGGAACAUCAAUGGCGAAGGCAGCUUUCUGGACCAAUACUGACGCUGAGGUACGAAAGCGUGGGUAGCAAACAGGAUUAGAUACCCUGGUAGUCCACGCCGUAAACGAUGAUAACUAGCCGUUGGGGGGAUUUACCCCUUAGUGGCGAAGCUAACGCGUUAAGUUAUCCGCCUGGGGAGUACGGCCGCAAGGUUAAAACUCAAAGGAAUUGACGGGGACCCGCACAAGCGGUGGAGCAUGUGGUUUAAUUCGAUGCAACGCGAAGAACCUUACCUGGUCUUGACAUCCUGCGAACUUUCUAGAAAUAGAUUGGUGCCUUCGGGAACGCAGUGACAGGUGCUGCAUGGCUGUCGUCAGCUCGUGUCGUGAGGUGUUGGGUUAAGUCCCGUAACGAGCGCAACCCCUAUCCUUAUUUGCCAGCACAUCAUGGUGGGAACUAUAAGGAGACUGCCGGUGAUAAACCGGAGGAAGGCGGGGACGACGUCAAGUCAUCAUGGCCCUUACGACCAGGGCUACACACGUGCUACAAUGGGAAGGACAAAGAGCCGCGAAGCCGCGAGGUGUAGCUAAUCUCAUAAACCUUUUCGUAGUCCGGAUUGGAGUCUGCAACUCGACUCCAUGAAGUCGGAAUCGCUAGUAAUCGUAGAUCAGAAUGCUACGGUGAAUACGUUCCCGGGUCUUGUACACACCGC
rnacentral:rRNA from 1 species